rnacentral:rRNA from 1 species
AGAGUUUGAUCCUGGCUCAGAGCGAACGUUAGCGGCGGGCCUAACACAUGCAAGUCGAACGAGAAUGUAGACUUCGGUCUACUAGUAAAGUGGCGGACGGGUGCGUAACACGUGGGUAAUCUACCUUCCGGCGGGGGACAACAGUCCGAAAGGAUUGCUAAUACCGCGUACGUCAGCGGCGCCUACGGGCGCUGUUGGGAAAGAUGGCCUCUCCUUGGAAGCUAUCACCGGAAGAUGAGCCCGCGUCCCAUCAGCUAGUUGGUGAGGUAAUGGCUCACCAAGGCAAAGACGGGUAGCUGGUCUGAGAGGACGAUCAGCCACAUUGGGACUGAGACACGGCCCAAACUCCUACGGGAGGCAGCAGUGGGGAAUAUUGGACAAUGGGCGCAAGCCUGAUCCAGCCAUGCCGCGUGAGUGAUGAAGGCCCUAGGGUUGUAAAGCUCUUUUGUGCGGGAAGAUAAUGACGGUACCGCAAGAAUAAGCCCCGGCUAACUUCGUGCCAGCAGCCGCGGUAAUACGAAGGGGGCUAGCGUUGCUCGGAAUCACUGGGCGUAAAGGGUGCGUAGGCGGGUCUUUAAGUCAGGGGUGAAAAUCCUGGAGCUCAACUCCAGAACUGCCUUUGAUACUGAAGAUCUUGAGUUC